UUUUGUAUAAUGGGUCAGCGACUUAAUGUCAGUAGCGAGCUUAACCGUUUAGGGGAGGCGUAGGGAAACCGAGUCUUAAUAGGGCGAAUUAGUUGCUGGCAUUAGACCCGAAACCCGGUGAUCUAUCCAUGGCCAGGUUGAAGAUGCCGUAACAGGCAUUGGAGGACCGAACCCACAAAUGUUGAAAAAUUUGGGGAUGAGCUGUGGAUCGGAGUGAAAGGCUAAUCAAACCGGGAGAUAGCUGGUUCUCCUCGAAAUCUAUUUAGG
rnacentral:rRNA from 1 species